rnacentral:tRNA from 1 species
UACUCCAUAGCCGAGUGGAUAAAGUGUCGGACUUCUGAUCCGUACGUCCCGAGUUCGAAUCUCGCAGGGGUUU